GACGAACGCUGGCGGCGUGCUUAACACAUGCAAGUCGAACGAAGUGGCGAACGGGUGAGUAACGCGUAAUCAACCUGCCCUUCAGAGGGGGACAACAGUUGGAAACGACUGCUAAUACCGCAUACGGAAGGGGGGGCUUGCGUCUGAUUCGGCAGUUGGUGGGGUAACGGCCAACCAAACCAACGCUCAGUAGCCGGUCUGAGAGGAUGAACGGCCCCACUGGAACUGAGACACGGUCCAGACUCCUACGGGGGGCAGCGGUGGGGAAUCUUCCGCAAUGGACGAAAGUCUGACGGAGCAACUCCGCGUGAGUGAAGACGGCCUUCGGGUUGUAAAGCUCUGUGAUCCGGGACGCGGUACCGGAAAAGCAAGCCACGGCUAACUACGUGCCAGCAGCCGCGGUAAUAC
rnacentral:rRNA from 1 species